UAACUUGACGACCGUGAAUCAAUGAACACUUUUUAUUUGUUGUUUUGUUCUAAAACCUGAUAAUGUGAUCGUAACUUCUAAAAAUGAAUACUUUUAUUUGGCUUGCAACGCAUAGGUGCACAUGUGCUGACAUGACACUGACGCGAAUGCGAAGAGGCCGACGAGGCGCUGCUCAUGGCUGUAUUUUAACUAAGUUAAUUUAAAUGGCUCAGGGAAAGUUCAAGCUGAAGAAGGCAGGGGCUUCUAAGAAAAAGCAGCAAAAUGCUUAUAAGAACCAAGCAUCGAAGUCAAAGAGGGGCCAAAGUUCAGUCAUUCCUGCUAAGAAAGCCAACCUUCAACAACAGCAAAAAGUAAUGAAGACUCUCACAAAGAAAAUAAAUGAAAAGGCUGAAAAUGAUCUAAAGGCAAGAUCAUAUCAGUCUGAUGGAAAGUCUUUUAAGGUGCUUGGGAAAGUGGACACUGUAAAGGAUGCCAAAAAAGUGGCGGGGAAAGGCAAGAAAGCGAAAACACAGAAGACUGGCAAGAAAAAGUAGAGGGUAUGUGUGAUAUAGUGCUAUAUUUGUGUUAUAUUAUCUCAUCAUCACAUCUUGGCCAACAUACUUGAUUGUGGGAGUACCUACAGUACAGAAACAAAGACCAUCACUACGGCAUUCAUAAUUGGAUAUUCACUUCAUUCAUCAACAUUGACAUAAGGAAUAUUCUUUGAAUGUUUGAACUUUGAAUACAUCAACUUCUGAUAAAU